rnacentral:lncRNA from 1 species
AGAUCAUCUAUAGCUGGGUAUUUAAUGAGUUCCCUUCCUUUGUGGCGGAAGACAGCCGGCGGUUCAUCUCCCAGGAGACAGGCAACCUUUAUAUUUCUAAAGUCCAAACAUCAGAUGUUGGCAGCUAUAUUUGUCUGGUGAAAAACACAGUGACGAAUGCUAGAGUCCUUAGUCCUCCAACGCCACUCACUCUGCGUAAUGAUGGUGUGAUGGGAGAAUAUGAGCCGAAAAUUGAGGUCCAUUUUCCUUUCACGGUUACAGCUGCUAAAGGAACAACUGUUAAGAUGGAAUGCUUUGCACUUGGCAAUAAAUACAUAAAAGGGAGUGUAAAGAAGACUGCUUCACUCAAGAAGGUCUCUGUUUAUCACUUGGUGUCCUUUCUAAGAAAUGUCACAAUUAUGGAAAAAAGAAACAUCUUAUGAAGAUGUCUACCCUCUACCUAAAGACCAAUCUGCCACCCUUAUGAAAAUAAAC